GAUCUUUAUAUAUUAAAUAAUUAUACAAUAUUAGUUUAAUUUUUUUUUUUAAAAUUAUUAAUAUAUUAUAUUGGGGUAAUAAUAAAAUUUUAAAAAUUUUUAUUUUUUAAUAACGAUUAUGAUUGAUUUGUUGAUCCAGUAUUAUUGAUUAUAAAGUUAAGUUACCUUAGGGAUAACAGCGUAAUGAUUUUUGARAGUUCUUAUCAA
rnacentral:rRNA from 1 species